AAUUUGUGAACGAGUUCCAAGUGCGUAGGAGCUGACGUAACCUAACAAGAUCCGUCAAAGCUGGACGGUGAACCGAAGCCGAAACGAGACAACGCCCGGUAUCACGGUAUCAAUUCAUAACAAGUAACGCCAAAAUUUGUGCACACCACAAAUAGUCAGUUUCUUUUUCUUUCCCAUACAGUGACGGUUUCCGUACUUGUAAAAUUUCAUGUGUUGAAAGGUUUUAUUUUUUAUUCCUUUACGUCUCUCGAAAACUGAACCGCCGCAAUUGUAUCGGAUUAGUCAGUUAAUGAAACGGUGAAGGUGGGUGUUGAUCUCGAAUCUUUAUCGGAGGCGACUUCUGGUGCCGUAGGAUCACUGUUGAGCACGACGAUCUUGUACCCGCUUGACACAUGUAAGACCAAGUACCAGGCCGAGGUCAAAGCUCAUGGCCAGCAGAAAUACAGAUCCGGAAAAUUCCAAUUUGCGGUUGUUAUUAUGUAAUCACUGCAUGGUUGUUAUUUGCCUAUUUCUAUGGCCACAGCUAUUUCAAAUGAUUGUAUCUGGAAAAGAGUGGUUCUAAAUCAAUUGGAACAAAAGCAAACUUGAUUAUUGCUGCUACUGUUGGGGCUUGCACUGCCAUCGUGACUAGGUGAGACAUCGUUUGGCUAACUUUCUGUUCAUGUUUGAGAAUCAUUCCUGAUUAUGCAGGAUGAGGCAGUUUUGGCUUGGCAGGAAUUUCAGCAGGAUCUUGCCCAACUCUGGAAACUAUCCCAUUGCUAUCCCUAUAGGUCGGACUCUGCUUCCUUACUUCAGCAUCAGUUUCUACAACACCCACCUUGGGCUAGAUCAUGUCAGCUUCUGCAGCAAGAUGCCGGGCAGGAAAUUCUACAGUUACGGCAGGGACUGUCUUGCAAAAGUUUGCUGUCCUUGUCACUUUUCACUGCCUGGAUUUCUGUUCUACUGCACCCAGGAAUCCCUUUGCAUUUUCCAGCAGAUGCAGAUUCCAGCUGCCAAAAUAUGUCACUCUCUGGUUUCGAUUAAUUGCUACUACAGCUGCUGCUACAACCGGGGGUCCUCUUUAUGUUGCCUGCUACAGCCUCAUGAAGAUCAAUUCUGCUAGCAGCUGCCUCCCAAUUAAGAUGCUGACUCAGAUUAACUGCUGCACCUUUUACCUGUUUGGCAUGUCUUUAUCCCCAAAUGCCCCGAGCAAUAUCCAGUUCAAAAGCUCCAGGCUCAAGUGUGUCUUGUGUGCUACAAAUCUGGAUGUAAACCAGAUUUUGUAUAGCUCUAGGAUUUGGGCUGGCAUAUGGAUUUUGCUAUGUGUUUGUUACCUUGGGAGUGUUAAGAUCCUGUAAGAAGUGCACAUCUACCCAAAUCCGUGAAAUGGAGAACUGAUGCUAUCUCGCCACACGUGCUCUUGAUCGUAUCGCUGAAGAACUUAAAACAAAGAAGCUCAAAGGAAGGAUAUUUACCAGCAAGUUUGCCGAAAGCUAACUUAUAUAAUCCAUCUAAGACGAAGUAUGCUAGUUGAUUUUCCAGUAAUACAAUGUCUGUAAAUAUGUCUAUGUACAUUAUUGGUUAUCUAAAUAAAAAUCAUCCUCAGCCUGGAAUUUCCCAA